rnacentral:rRNA from 1 species
CCUACGGGAGGCAGCAGUGAGGAAUAUUGGUCAAUGGACGAGAGUCUAAACCAGCCAAGUAGCGUGAAGGAUGACUGCUCUAUGGGUUGUAAACUUCUUUUAUAUGGGAAUAAAACAGGGUAUGCAUACCCUCUUGUAUGUACCAUAUGAAUAAGGAUCGGCUAACUCCGUGCCAGCAGCCGCGGUAAUACGGAGGAUCCGAGCGUUAUCCGGAUUUAUUGGGUUUAAAGGGAGCGUAGGUGGAUUGUUAAGUCAGUUGUGAAAGUUUGCGGAUCAACCGUAAAAGUGCAGUUGAAACUGGCAGUCUAGAGUACAGUAGAGGUGGGCGGAAUUCGUGGUGUAGCGGUGAAAUGCUUAGAUAUCACGAAGAACUCCGAUUGCGAAGGCAGUUCACUGGACUGCAACUGACACUGAUGCUCGAAAGUGUGGGUAUCAAACAGGAUUAGAUACCCUGGUAGUC